UAUGGAGCUUUAGUAUAAUAACUAAAAUUCACUUCUAACAAUCUAAGGGUAUACAAAUAAAUUAACUAGUUAUAAACUUUGGUUGGGGUGACCUCGGAGAACAAAUAAACCUCCGAAUGAUUAUAAUCUUAGACUUACAAGUCAAAGCAUGAUCACUUAUUGACCCAGUAAAUUUUACUGAUCAACGGAACAAGUUACCCUA
rnacentral:rRNA from 1 species